rnacentral:rRNA from 1 species
UACGAAGGGGGCUAGCGUUGCUCGGAAUUACUGGGCGUAAAGGGUGCGUAGGCGGGUCUUUUAAGUCAGAGGUGAAAUCCUGGAGCUCAACUCCAGAACUGCCUUUGAUACUGAGGAUCUUGAGUUCGGGAGAGGUGAGUGGAACUGCGAGUGUAGAGGUGAAAUUCGUAGAUAUUCGCAAGAACACCAGUGGCGAAGGCGGCUCACUGGCCCGAUACUGACGCUGAGGCACGAAAGCGUGGGGAGCAAACAGG